GAUGAAGAACGUAGCGAAAUGCGAUAAGUAAUGUGAAUUGCAGAAUUCAGUGAAUCAUCGAAUCUUUGAACGCACAUUGCGCCCGCCAGUAUUCUGGCGGGCAUGCCUGUCUGAGCGUCAUUUCAACCCUCAUGCCCCUAGGGCGUGGUGUUGGGGAUCGGCCAAAGCCCGCGAGGGACGGCCGGCCCCUAAAUCUAGUGGCGGACCCGUCGUGGCCUCCUCUGCGAAGUAGUGAUAUUCCGCAUCGGAGAGCGAUGAGCCCCUGCCGUUAAACCCCCAACUUUCCAAGGUUGACCUCAGAUCAGGUAGGAAUACCCGCUGAACUUAAGCGUAUCAAUAAGCGGAGGA
rnacentral:misc_RNA from 1 species